rnacentral:rRNA from 1 species
CCUACGGGAGGCAGCAGUAGGGAAUAUUGCACAAUGGGGGAAACCCUGAAGCAGCGACGCCGCGUGAAGGAUGAAGGAUUUCGGAUUGUAAACCUCUUUCAGCAGGGAAGAAAAUGACGGUAUCUGACUAAGAAGCACCGGCUAACUCCGUGCCAGCAGCCGCGGUAAUACGUAGGGGGCGAGCGUUCUCCGGAUUUACUGGGUUUAAAGGGAGCGUAGGCGGCAAGUCAAGGCAGAAGUGAAAGCCCAGGGCUUAACCCUGGGACUGCUUUUGAAACUGCCGGGCUGGAGUGCCGGAGAGGGAAGCGGAAUUCCUGGUGUAGCGGUGAAAUGCGUAGAUAUCAGGAGGAACACCAGUGGCGAAGGCGGCUUACUGGACUGUAACUGACGUUGAGGCUCGAAAGCGUGGGGAGCAAACAGGAUUAGAUACCCUAGUAGUC